AGCGAACGCUGGCGGCAGGCUUAACACAUGCAAGUCGAGCGGGCAUCCUUGUGGUGUCAGCGGCAGACGGGUGAGUAACGCGUGGGAACGUGCCCUUCGGUUCGGAAUAACUCAGGGAAACUUGAGCUAAUACCGGAUACGUGCGAGAGCAGAAAGGGUUAUCUGCCGAAGGAUCGGCCCGCGUCUGAUUAGCUAGUUGGUGAGGUUAUGGCUCACCAAGGCGACGAUCAGUAGCUGGUCUGAGAGGAUGAUCAGCCACACUGGGACUGAGACACGGCCCAGACUCCUACGGGAGGCAGCAGUGGGGAAUAUUGGACAAUGGGGGCAACCCUGAUCCAGCCAUGCCGCGUGAGUGAUGACGGCCUUAGGGUUGUAAAGCUCUUUUCUCCGGGACGAUAAUGACGGUACCGGAGGAAUAAGCCCCGGCUAACUUCGUG
rnacentral:rRNA from 1 species